rnacentral:misc_RNA from 1 species
GAUGAAGAACGUAGCGAAAUGCGAUACGUAAUGUGAAUUGCAGAAUUCAGUGAAUCAUCGAAUCUUUGAACGCAUAUUGCGCUCUCUGGUAUUCCGGAGAGCAUGCUUGUUUGAGUAUCAGUAAACACCUCAACUCCCUUUUCUUUUUUGAAAUUGGAGCUGGACUUGAGUGAUCCCAACGCUUUCUUCCAAGAAAGUGGCGGGUUGCUUGAAAUGCAGGUGCAGCUGAACUUUUCUCUGAGCUAUAAGCAUAUCUAUUUAGUCUGCCUAAAAAACAGAUUAUUACCUUUGCUGCAGCUAACAUAAAGGAGACUAGUUCUUGUGCUGACUGAUGCAGGAUUCACAGAGACAGCUUCGGCUGACUUUGUAAACUCGAUCUCAAAUCAAGUAAGACUACCCGCUGAACUUAAGCAUAUCAUAAGCGGAGGA